CUGAGCUCAGGGCUUGAGAGACAGGUAAAAGAUGAAGCGAGACUUAAUGCACACUAAUAACAAUUUUACUGGAGCAAACCCUGCCUCUGCCUCUGUGAAAGACCCGACCUGCAAUGGAACUAGAUUCUUAACUUUUCCAUUUUUAUGAGCAAUCGAGUGGGAAAGAUGGUCUAAUGGACAAGCCAGCUGCAGACUUCCUGUGUCUCCUUAGGAAAUAUAUAAAAUUGGCAUGACGUGACACAGGGAGUGGUAUAGUUAUUUUCCUCCAAUCAAAAAUAUCCACAAUCACAAAUCGUGAACCAGCCCUGUGUACAUCCUUCAAGGAUUCAGUCUGAAGAGGACUUUGAGUUAUCCUCAAGGAACCAGAUGACCUGUUCUGAGGACAAAGCAAACUCGUCCAGCACAUAUGUAAAAAAGAGAUUGGCAGCAGCCAUGGGGGAAAAUCAGUAAAACUUGCUGGAGGUAAAUGUAUGUGUAAACUAGUGGAGUUUUCACCCUGCUGUAAACUGAGGAUACACACACUGGAUUCAGUCCUAAUUUUCACCUUUUGAGGGUGUGCCUUUAUUACUAAUCUAAAUAGUAGCAAAACAAGCACAAGUUAUGCUUUAAUCAAACAAAUUUCUAGGCUUAAUGCAGGCUUAAUGAGUGAAGUUUCAUCGCCUGUGGUAUAGGUGACAGAUAGGGAAAUUCACUGCCUUAUCAUUGGGAGACCAUUUUGAAUGAAGUUUAGGUAGCUUUGGGGUCCACUGUAUUAAAUGAAUGGUUUAUGUUUUACUGUGGGCCAGGACUGUAUGUAUCUUCUUGAGGAGGGGGUGAAUGCAAAUUCCUACCUCCAGAUACACAAGAACCCAGCCUUUUGAAGUUAUGCUUGGUCUGCUGAUUACCUGCUCCCAGAAUCUGAAGAUCAAAGGCCCAAGCUGUAUAAAGGAAAUGAACUAUUUGUGAUUGUGCUGGUUCUGAGCUAUGGCUAUUAUGAAUUUGUAACCACACAAAAACCCAUUGUGGGGUUUGAAAGACUGACUCCUUCCAAAGCCCUUGCUGGAGUUGGGGCAGUGAUCUCUGGUAAGCUUAUUAGUAUG